rnacentral:misc_RNA from 1 species
AACAUCGCGCACCUGCGGGAACCUGCGGAAGGAUCAUUAACAAGCUGUGGGAGAUCAAUUUGAUCUCACACCUGGCCAACCUUGUUAACCUUAAAUAUAUUGCUUUGGUGAGCCCUGCUCACCAAAGUCAAACCCUAAACUCUUGAUUUUUUCUGCUGUCUGAGCAUGCAAGUGCAAAAUUUAGUUAAAAAACUUUCAACAAUGGAUCU